rnacentral:rRNA from 1 species
UACGUAGGGUGCGAGCGUUGCCCGGAUUUAUUGGGCGUAAAGGGCGCGUAGGCGGCCACCGCAAGUCGACUGUGAAAUCUCCGGGCUUAACCCGGAAAGGUCAGCCGAUACUGCGGGGCUAGAGUGCAGAAGGGGCAACUGGAAUUCUCGGUGUAGCGGUGAAAUGCGUAGAUAUCGAGAGGAACACCUGCGGCGAAGGCGGGUUGCUGGGCUGACACUGACGCUGAGACGCGAAAGCUAGGGGAGCGAACGGG